rnacentral:misc_RNA from 1 species
UAUGAAGAACGUAGCGAAAUGCGAUAAGUAGUGUGAAUUGCAGAAUUCAGUGAAUCAUCGAAUCUUUGAACGCACAUUGCGCCCUUUGGUAUUCCUUAGGGCAUGCCUGUUCGAGCGUCAUUUAAACCUUCAAGCUCAGCUUGGUGUUGGGUGACUGUCCGCUUCACCGCGGACUCGCCUCAAAAUUAUUGGCGGCCGGUACAUUGGCUCUCGAGCGCAGCAGAAACGCGUAACUCGAGGUCCUCGUGCUGGCUCCCAGAAGCUAUCUUCACAAUUUUGACCUCGGAUCAGGUAGGGAUACCCGCUGAACUUAAGCAUAUCAAUAAGCGGAGGA